GCAGUCGUGGCCUAGUGGAUAAGGUGAUUGACUGACGCCUGAUCAAAAGGCGCCGGUUCGAUCCCCAGCUCCACUGGG